UCUAGCUUGAAAAACAAAUAAAUUUUUAUGUUUAGUGUUUAUUUAUACAUAAUAUUCAUUCUACAUAAUAUAUAAAAUAUAGAACUAGAACUAGAACAGUCUACACGUUUAUACUAAUCAAAGAUGUAAAAAAAUUGAUAUUUGACUCUGAUUUACUGAAUGGUCAUUAGGGGGGAAAUAUUAGCCAAUAUGAAGAAUAAAAGCUGUAAUAGGUCAUUACUUCCCAGUGACUAAAGAAAUAUUAAAUUCCAUGGAGUUUUUGGUGUCUACCGAUAGGAUAGCAUUAAAUGGAUGAUGAAUAAAUACGGGAUAUUGCUGAAGCCACUAAUAGACAGGUUACAAAUUAAAAGUGGUAUCUUGAAAGAAAGUUAAAUCUCAAGUACUUUUGGACAAAUCGUCUCAUAUGCAAAGGAAACAGGUCUCCACAUAGUUUGUUAAAAAGCCUUGUUGUAGGUGAAUAUGUACAAUGUUGAUUAUAUAAAAACCAUUCAGUGGGGCAGAAUCCAUGGAAAAGAUGCCAUAGGCCCAUGGAGCACCUAAGACAAAAUUAUAGUCUUAAUUUAUGGCUAGCAGAUUCGAGACUCCUUGGUAGUCCUGAUGGAAUUAUUAAAGAAGAAUUAUGUUGUAUUAGCGAUUAUGAUGACAUGUCUAAUGAUUCUAUACUUUUCUCUUGUUCACUCCCAACUUGAAAAUUCAACUGUGAUCUGGUUUCCCUUUACUGGAGCAUGUAUCGGAAAAGUUAGAGAGAGUUAAAAGAAGAUUUCUGAUGUACUGUUCUUUUAAAUUGUGUAAGCCAUAUUCUUAUUCUGGUAUGAUCAAUUUAUUGAAUCUAGAUUAUCUUCUUAUCAGAAGAGUUAACUUUAACUUGAUAUUUAUUUUUAAGCUUGUAAAUGAGAUAAUCCAAUCUUCUGAAAUGCUUCAGCUAAUUUGAUAUAUUUCUUUCCGUUCACUGUGUCACAAUUCACUUUUCUUUGUUCCUUAUCGCAGAACUAAUUUAUGGUUCAAAUACAGGUAUGGUAUGGUCUGACCACUAUGCAUGCAAAUCAGUUACCUCAUAAUUGUUUAGGUUAUGUAUCAAUUGCCUUAGGAAUUUAUUUAUUGUAUUUGAAUCAGUCAUUGCGAAAACAAUCUUAGUCCAUAUUUUGGGUAAAAUGACGAUGCUUUUUGACGCCAUGAAAUUUACAUUUAAACAUAUAAACAUUUAAACUUUUUUGCCUUUUAGAAAGAUUCAUUCAUAACCAUAAUACUUAUAUAAAAUAUAGUAUUAUCUAGGAAUAUCCAAUUAAUGAAAAGAUUUUUACGUUUCCUGAAAAAUUUACACAUUGUAACAUGUAUUGUUUUCGCAAUGACCGAAUCAUUUAUGUAUUUCUAAUUUUAUAAAUAUAUUGUAUAUAUUUUAAUGCUGAAUCCUUAUAUAAUUUUGACAGUGGUUUUGUCUCAUUUGUUAGUAAUAAAUACCUACAUAUCAAUUAAUUACCUAAUGUAUUAAUGUAAUAUGUAAUAAAAGUUCCAUUAAAAA